rnacentral:rRNA from 1 species
GACGAACGCUGGCGGCGUGCUUAACACAUGCAAGCCGAACGGAAAGGCCCUGCUUUUGUGGGGUGCUCGAGUGGCGAACGGGUGAGUAACACGUGAGUAACCUGCCCUUGACUUUGGGAUAACUUCAGGAAACUGGGGCUAAUACCGGAUAGGAGCUCCUGCUGCAUGGUGGGGGUUGGAAAGUUUCGGCGGUUGGGGAUGGACUCGCGGCUUAUCAGCUUGUUGGUGGGGUAGUGGCUUACCAAGGCUUUGACGGGUAGCCGGCCUGAGAGGGUGACCGGCCACAUUGGGACUGAGAUACGGCCCAGACUCCUACGGGAGGCAGCAGUGGGGAAUAUUGCACAAUGGGCGUAAGCCUGAUGCAGCAACGCCGCGUGCGGGAUGACGGCCUUCGGGUUGUAAACCGCUUUCGCCUGUGACGAAGCGUGAGUGACGGUAAUGGGUAAAGAAGCACCGGCUAACUACGUG